GACAUGGGCAAAACAACAGAAGUACACAGACCAGGAGUAAACACUUAAAGCAUGCACUAAAGGUACAGGGGCCCGUUUCAGAAAGGUUAAGUGAAAACUCUGAGUAUGUUAACCCUGAAAUGAGGGAAACUCUGGGUUUUCAUCCAUAAUCUCAUCCAUCCUUACAUCAGAAACAUCAGCCAUCGUGGCCAUGCUCUUACAUCCGAGCAGUUGCUUUGCGUUGCCUUACGUUUCUUUACAAAUGGUAGUUUGCUGUAUAACAUCGGGGAUGCAGAACAUAUUAGUAAGGCUACUGUUUGCAGAGCGGUAAGGAAAGUGUGCCUUUGUGUUGUUUCCUGGGCACAAACCAGUGAGAGUCAUCAAAGAGGAGUUUCAUCGGAUUGCAGAUCAUAUGUGAUGCUGCACAUAUAAUCACAAAUGUGGAGGCCAAGUGGCCCGGCUCUGUUCAUGACUCAAGAAUGUAUCGGGAGUCAACCCUGAGCAACAGACUGGAAAGGGGAGAGAUUGAUGUCUUUCUGCUGGGAGAUUACCCAUGCCGACCAAAUCUUACCCCCUUACCCAGAACCUGAACCAGGCCCACAGCAGUGCUUCAAUGUGGCACACUGCAGGACGAGAGCCCGGGUGGAGAUGACCAUAGGCCUUUUGAAAGCACGUUCCCAGUGCCUACGUUACCUCAGGGUAACCCCUGAAAGGGCCUGCGACAUUAUUUUGGCAUGUGUUGUUCUCCAUAAUAUUGCCAUAAUUAGAGGGGAGCAACACCCUGCCCUACAAUUACAAGACCCUGAGGAAGACCCCAUCAACCCUGCAGAUUUCCAGGAUGGAAGGGUAGUCCGGGAUUUGAUAUUCUGCAAUGUCUUCUCAGAUUAAUCAUGAUAUCCACCACCACAAAAACAAAAAAACAAAAAUGAAUAAACACAAA